rnacentral:rRNA from 1 species
GUACUCCUCAAGCUGGACCUUGCCCGCGCUUUUGACUCCAUCUCUUGGCCCUUCCUCUUCGAGGUUCUUCGCCAAUAUAGUUUCAGCAACAAGUUCAUGGAUUGGCUGGCUAUUCUGCUCAGUUCCGCGAGCACUCGGGUCAUUAUCAACGGCGAGCCAGGAUGGCACCGUCGUGGCCUCCGGCAUGGGGACCCCUGUCCCCCAGCUUUUCGUCCUCGACAUUCUAUGCCGCCUGAUCAGGCGUGCCGCCACUCUCGGCAUCCUGCAACAGCUCCACUCGUGGCGCCAAGUUCCUUAAAUCUUGGUAUACGCCGAUCUAGUACUUUUUUGCCACCCACUCCCCAGCGACAUCGCCUCUAUGAAGGAAAUCCUACACAUAUUUGGACGCUCCUCUGGCCCGCUGUUAACUACAACUAG